UGGACACUUUGUUAUGUCCCUGUUAACAAACUGUUUUUUAUGCCCCACCUACGAAAGUAGAGGGGCAUUAUAUUUUCUGGUCUGUGCGUCCGUUCGUCUGUCCGUUCGUCCGUCCGUCUGUCCCGCUUCAGGUUAAAGUUUUUGGUCAAGGUAGUUUUUGAUGAAGUUGAAGUCCAAUCAACUUGAAACUUAGUAUACAUGUGCCCUAUGAUAUGAUCUUUCUAAUUUUAAUGCCAAAUUAGAGUUUUGACCCCAAUUUUAAGGUUCACUGAACAUAGAAAAUGAUAGUGCAAAUUUCAGGUUAAAGUUUUUGGUCAAGGUAGUUUUUGAU
rnacentral:lncRNA from 1 species